AUGAACGCUGGCGGCGUGCCUAAUACAUGCAAGUCGAGCGAACGGACGAGAAGCUUGCUUCUCUGAUGUUAGCGGCGGACGGGUGAGUAACACGUGGAUAACCUACCUAUAAGACUGGGAUAACUUCGGGAAACCGGAGCUAAUACCGGAUAAUAUUUUGAACCGCAUGGUUCAAAAGUGAAAGACGGUCUUGCUGUCACUUAUAGAUGGAUCCGCGCUGCAUUAGCUAGUUGGUAAGGUAACGGCUUACCAAGGCAACGAUGCAUAGCCGACCUGAGAGGGUGAUCGGCCACACUGGAACUAAGACACGGUCCAGACUCCUACGGGAGGCAGCAGUAGGGAAUCUUCCGCAAUGGGCGAAAGCCUGACGGAGCAACGCCGCGUGAGUGAUGAAGGUCUUCGGAUCGUAAAACUCUGUUAUUAGGGAAGAACAUAUGUGUAAGUAACUGUGCACAUCUUGACGGUACCUAAUCAGAAAGCCACGGCUAACUACGUG
rnacentral:rRNA from 1 species